ACUGAGCAUCAUCAGACAGGCAGGGGGAGCAAGAUGGAGUCACUCACCCAGGUCCUCAUGUCUCUUCUGCUCUUGGUAUCUGGUGCCCGUGCAGAUAUCGUGAUGACCCAGUCUCCAUCCACUUUGGCUCUGUCACCAGGAGAGAAGGUCACCAUCAGCUGCAAGUCCAGUCAGAGUCUUUUAUACAGUGCAAAUCAGAAGAACUACUUGGCCUGGUACCAGCAGAAAGCAGGGCAGUCUCCUAAACUGCUGAUCUACUGGGCAUCCACUCAGCACACUGGGAUCCCUGAUCGCUUCAUAGGCAGUGGGUCUGGGACAGAUUUCACUCUCACUAUCAGCAGUGUCCAGGCUGAAGACAUGGGAGAUUAUUUCUGUCAGCACCAUUAUGGUACUCCUCCCACAGUGCUUCAGUCCCUAACAAAAAACCUCCUUUGA